GUUUGAUUAGCUCAAUCGGUAAGAGCAUCCGAUGGAAUCUAUCGGAGAGAGUAGGUUCGACUCCUACAUCAAACACCA
rnacentral:tRNA from 1 species